ensembl:snRNA U4 U4 spliceosomal RNA
AGCUUUGCGCAGUGGCAGUAUCGUAGCCUAUGAGGUCUAUCCGAGGCGCGAUUAUUGCUAGUUGAAAACUUUACCCAAUACCCCGCCUUGACGACUUGAAAUAUAGUCGGCAACGGCAAUUUUUGACAGUCUCUAAGGAGA